rnacentral:lncRNA from 1 species
GGUGGGUCUUACACCCCCAACCGAUAUUUGUAGUGAGAGUUGUGCCAUUACCGCAUUAUGACGUCAAAACCGGUUUUCUUAUCAAGGCCUAAGUUAAAGCCCUUUCUUAAUUUCUGGUUUGCUAUCAUGCUUAUUUGUGCAUAUGAAACCCUAUUGGGGUUGUGUUAAGCAUUGCUAUACGACUCGUUAUCGAGUCUCAUUGCAUUUGUUGCGUGAUUCUAGGACGUGACGGUAGUUCACGGCGGAUUGGUGACCACGGUGUAUGAAACACCACUUUCUUGCGUGGUGAGUUUACUACUCACUUGUGUGCUAUUAUAUGGCUUUGCUACUUGAACUUGGUGCUUGGAGUGUUAAUUGCUUGAAGUGAAAGUGUACUUUAUCACUCUCACUUAUUGUUUCGCAUGUUAUUGAAAAGUUAUUGGAAUGUUAUAUGAAAUGUUAUAUGAAAUGAAAUACAAAUGUUAUCAAUGUUAUCAAUGACUUCAAAUAUUAUCCAUGAGCUCAAUCCCAUUGGAAAUUGAUUGAAUCGAGCCGACGAGGGCUUGGUCGUGCCAAUUAAUGUACCUUGGGCAACGUUAUAUGGAAUCUUGUAGUAUGAGAGACUCUUGAUUCCGGUUUACUCGAGUAAUACCACAAUGCAUGCGUUUGGAUUUCGGGCCCGGUUGAGGAAUGUUAGGAGGAAGGGAAUGGAAGUUAAGUGAAGUCUACGGUUGGUUACUUUCAGACAUUGACGGAGAGUCAAUGAGACCUGAUCAAGAAUUCAAACGAGGAAAAGGGCUCUUGAGAGCCACCCGUAUCCUUUUAUCCUCAUUAUUAAUGUGUGGCUUUAUUUAUUUUGGUAAAUUGGACUGUUAAGCUUGAUGUAUCCAUGAACUUGGUUGCUUGAGUUGUAUUCUCACUGGGCAAUUAGCUCACCCCGUUCCUUUUGUUUUCCUUACAGGAAUAUGACUCUUUUGGAAUGAAUUUUGAUAAAUGGUUGCCAAAUGAACUAGAUGAAUGACUCUUUUGUAUUGUAUAUAAAAUGGG